GAUGAACGCUGGCGGCGUGCUUAACACAUGCAAGUCGAGCGAAGCGGCUGAAUUGAUUCUUCGGAUGAUUUUCAGUUGACUGAGCGGCGGACGGGUGAGUAACGCGUGGGUGACCUGCCCCAUACCGGGGGAUAACAGCUGGAAACGGCUGCUAAUACCGCAUAAGCGCACAGAGCUGCAUGGCUCGGUGUGAAAAACUCCGGUGGUAUGGGAUGGGCCCGCGUCUGAUUAGGCAGUUGGCGGGGUAACGGCCCACCAAACCGACGAUCAGUAGCCGGCCUGAGAGGGCGACCGGCCACAUUGGGACUGAGACACGGCCCAAACUCCUACGGGAGGCAGCAGUGGGGAAUAUUGCACAAUGGGGGAAACCCUGAUGCAGCGACGCCGCGUGAGCGAAGAAGUAUUUCGGUAUGUAAAGCUCUAUCAGCAGGGAAGAUAAUGACGGUACCUGACUAAGAAGC
rnacentral:rRNA from 1 species